rnacentral:rRNA from 1 species
UAAUUUAUUUUAUUAUUGUUGUUUUUUAUUUAAAUUAAUUUUUAUUUUAUUAUUUUAUUAGAAGAAAUUUUUUUUAUUAUAGUUUAUUAUUAAAGUGAUUGAAAUUUUUUAAAUUUAAAGAAGAAAAAUUUAUUUUUUGUACCUUGUGUAUCAGGGUUGAUUAAAUGAUUUUUAUAAAUAUAAUUUUCUCGAAUUAAAAAGAGCUAUUUAUUUAUUAAUUUAACUGUUUCAUAAGUUUUUUUAAUAUUUAAUUUGUAAUGAAAUGUUAUUCGUUUUUUAAUAUAUCUAGUUUUUUUAGAAAAGAAUUUAAUUCUAUUAUUAAUUAUUUAUUUUUCUAUUAUUGAUUCAUAAAUUUUAGUAUUAAAUAUAUAAGGGGAUGAGCUUUUAUAUUUAUUUUUAAAAAUUUUUUUAUUUUGUAUUUUUUGUAUAAUUUGAAUUGUUAUUCAUUAAAAUAAUUUAAUAGUUAUUAUUACUGUUUUAUUUAUUUAUAUAAAUUUUAGAUUUUAUAUAAAAAUAUAAUAUUUAAUUUUUUAUUUUUAGUAAUUAUGAUUAAAUUAGUAAAUUUAUUUGUAUAAAUAUAAUUUUAGGUUAGGUUAUAAAAAGGAAUUCGGCAAAAGUAUUUUCCGCCUGUUUAUUAAAAACAUGUCUUUUUGAUAAUAAUUUAAGGUCUGACCUGCUCAAUGAUUAAUUUAAAUUGCCGCAGUAUCCUAACUGUGCAAAGGUAGCAUAAUAAUUAGUUUUUUUAUUGAAAGCUGGAAUGAAUGGUUGGACGAGAAAAUUUCUGUCUCUUUAUUAAUUUUUUUUGAAUUUAAUUUUUAAGUUAAAAAGCUUAAAUUUUUUUGAAAGACGAGAAGACCCUAUAGAGUUUUAUUUUUUGUAUAAUUAUUAUUUUUAGGAAUUUAAAGUUUUAAUUGUAUAAUUAAUUUGGUUGGGGUGACUAAAAGAUUAAAUUAACUCUUUUAAUUUAAAAUCAUUAAUUUAUGAAUUUUGAAUCUAUAUUUUUAAAUAUAAAAUAAAUUACCUUAGGGAUAACAGCGUUAUUUCUUUUUAGAGUUCUUAUUAAAAAAGAAGUUUGCGACCUCGAUGUUGGAUUAAAAUUUAUUUUAGGUGUAGAAGCUUAAUAAUUAAGUCUGUUCGACUUUUGAAAUUUUACAUGAUCUGAGUUUAAACCGGUGUGAGCCAGGUUGGUUUCUAUCUUUAGAUAAAUAAAAUAUUUUAGUACGAAAGGACCAAGUAUUUAAUAAUUUUAUUUUUAUUUUUGAUUAAUAUU